rnacentral:rRNA from 1 species
GAGUGAACGCUGGCGGUAGGCCUAACACAUGCAAGUCGAACGGCAGCACAGUAAGAGCUUGCUCUUACGGGUGGCGAGUGGCGGGCGGGUGAGGAAUACAUCGGAAUCUACUUUUUCGUGGGGGAUAACGUAGGGAAACUUACGCUAAUACCGCAUACGACCUACGGGUGAAAGCAGGGGAUCUUCGGACCUUGCGCGAUUGAAUGAGCCGAUGUCGGAUUAGCUAGUUGGCGGGGUAAAGGCCCACCAAGGCGACGAUCCGUAGCUGGUCUGAGAGGAUGAUCAGCCACACUGGAACUGAGACACGGUCCAGACUCCUACGGGAGGCAGCAGUGGGGAAUAUUGGACAAUGGGCGCAAGCCUGAUCCAGCCAUACCGCGUGGGUGAAGAAGGCCUUCGGGUUGUAAAGCCCUUUUGUUGGGAAAGAAAAGCAGCAGGUUAAUACCCCGCUGUUCUGACGGUACCCAAAGAAUAAGCACCGGCUAACUUCGUG